UCCAUUUUAUGCGCAGGCAUCAAGCCCUGACACUAUUACUGAUGCCAUGUUGUGCUUGCAGACAGGAGCUGCCUCUGAGAGAUACUGUUACUUACAGCCAACUACUGCACUGAGGUUGAGUUAGGGGAAGAAUUGAAGGAGCUGAAGGCGAUUGCAACCUCCUGGGAAGAACAUGAGUAUAACUCACCUGGACUCCCUCAGAGCUCCUGGAAACUAAGCCACCAACUAAAGGAGGCUGACCUGAUGGACAAAUCAGGGAGCUCCCUGCCUCUGGAAGUCGAGAGGUGCCGUCACCAGCUGCUGAGGAGAUGGACGGCGUUGCACGUGGGUUUCUAGUGGCUCGUUCUCAGGUGAGUUUCCUAGUUUGGCAAAUUCUAGAUUCUACCAGGGCCCUUUCACAAAGCUCUAUUUUUUGGCUCGUGGAAACUGUUGCUUAAUUUGAGGGUCUGAAUCUAUCAUAGCCUGGUUUCUAUAAGAUCCUUUUACCUCUUUGUAGACUCUUGACAACCACCUAGUUUGGGUACAUUUUUCUACUUGCUGUGUUCUAAGAAUUCAUCCUAUAUAUUAAAUGACAUGUAUAGUGGAUGAUUCUGCAAACACCGUAAUUUUGUAACAGUGAAAUGUUAAAAAUAUAAUAUCAACUAGAAGAGUAUAAAGUAAUAUAUUACAGUAUACAUAAAUGAUAUGUACAGUACAAUAUUACAAAACUAUAAACAUAACGAGUUGUUAAGAAAAUGGCGUUUUCCCUGCAAUAUGAAGACCUGAAUUCUGAGCUCUGUAAGUCUCAUACAUUAGAUGUAGUGUAACAUGUUUGUAUUCCCAGCAAGGACUAAGAAAAAAAAUUAGAAAGAAUUUCUAAAGAAGUCAUAGAAAGUAAUAGAAUAACCAAUAAAUGAUACAGUUGCUGAAAUGUCCCAAGUAGUAAAAUAUUUGGACAGCUUUCUUUCUUAGCAUGAUCCAUACAUGGAAUUUCCCUUUGACUUCCUGAUAAGGGUUCGUUCAACACAUGCUUCCUUUAUUAUUUAGGGAGGCUCAAGUCUGUAGCCGGGGUGACUGACUACUGCAGAGCUGUGCUCAGUGAUCCUGGACUCCGUGAAAGGUGUGCAUUAUUGAAGGCAGUGAGACAAAGAGUGUCAGGAACUCCGCGAGGAGCAAGAAGCCUACCUCGAACACAGCCUAUUGGGAACACGCUCACCCAAGGUCUGUAGCUUUAGCCUAUCAAGGGAUUUACCAUCUUCAGUCUGUGGUCUAACGCAAUGGCUGUCACUCAGGAAAUUGGGUGAACGAACACUGGCUGACAAAGUUAACUGACAGAACGGGCAACUACUCGUCUCUUGUGCGCAGACUUCGUCACACAAAGCAACCGAACACAGGUAGUCCUGUCUGCACGAUGUGUACACUGUGCGUCUCCAGGGCAACGAUCACACACAAGAGACCAACAAAUGUGAGGAUCACUGGGAUUUUCAGCUGUUAUUUUGAGAGCUGGCUGCCAAGACUGGAGUUCCUUUCCUGUGGCCCAUUCCUCCAGAAAAAGCAUGCUUGGCGGCUAUGGAACCCAGGAGAGCAGUACUAAGUCUGGAGGAAGAAGAUGUGCUCCAAUGGAAGGUAAGUAAGGAAAAGUGGUAUAAAAUUGUAUUGAGGCCAAUACAUUCCCUCCCAUACAAUUCAUUCUGUAAGGCUUGGUCUGAAACUCAGAAUUGUCUUUAAAACAAAUUUCUAAAUCUUAUAAUUAUCUGGCCUUCUCUCUUACAAAAGGAAGACAGUGAUAUAUAACCUUAAUUAUCUUUGGAAAGAUCAGCUCUGGGCAACGUUUUAAGAAGGAUUGCUUAAAAAAAUUCGAAGAUUGAGUGAAAAACUAAAUCACUUAUUUUGAUUUAUGUAUUAACGCAGUGUGUUACGCUAGGGGCUGUAGCUGUGUCUUAGCGUUAGAGUGCUUACCUAGAAUGCACAAGGCUCUGGACUGGAAAAUUCCCAGAACUGGAAAAAGACCACCCUCUCACCCCUCAGACCAACAGAACAACCAACCAACCAACCAACCAACCAACCAACCAACCAACCAAUCAACACCCUCCCCCCAUCAAAAUGGUGUUUACUGCUUAUCAACAACGUGUUAUGCUGAGUAAGUCAAGCCCUUGUUCUGCACACAUGGUAAUUUAUAGCCACUCACCAGCCUCAGCUGAAUGCAGUUAUGGAGACCAAGAUAACAUCAGCCAAGAACUUCCAGUUAGGAAGGCAGUUGGGAUAAUCCAGGCAGCAAAGACUGUACAAAUGUGAGUAAUAGAAACACAAUACUACAGGGCAGGGAUAAGCCUAGUUGUUGAGAAUCCAUGUUGUGGUGUUGGAAGCAAUUGCAGAAAGACAAUAGACAGCGGAAAGACAACAGACAGUGGGUCAAAAGGAUUUUGCUAAGAAGACACCAAGAGGAAAUAAGUUACAUAGUAGAGAGGAGGUUGGGAUAUAUCAGCACUAUACUGCUGAUUAACAAAAGGAAGUUGGCUAUUUUGGGAAAAAUUGAACAUUAAAUCAACCUGGACAUGGUAGCACACACACUUGUAUUUCCACCUACCAGGAGGCUGAAGCAAGAGGACUGCAAGUUCAAAGCCUGGGCAAUUUAGUGAGACCCUAUUUCAAAACAAAACACCAUCACUAACAAAGGAAACAGAAGAUUUUCAUUUCAUUGACACAUUAAACAGAUGCAGGAAGGAAGGAAGGAGGUGGAGGGGGGGCAAUAUGGUUAAAAAUUUUUUUCAUUUACUUUUUGCUACAGGGACUCACUGGGUAGCUGUGGCAGGCCUGGAACUUACUGUGUAGACCAGGCUGACCUUGAACUAAUAGAGAUCUGCCUGCUUCUAUCUACAGAAUGCCAGCAUUCUGGGUGUGCAUCACCACAUCAAGCCUAAAACUUGUUUAUAGGUGCAUGAGCACAUUAUCAGUAGCUAUAACUACUGCAGAAAUGUUUCUCCUUCACCCAUCAGCCAUUAUUAACUGCACAUAAAAACUCAGGAUAAUAUGAUCUUAGGAAUUUGGAUUGAGAGUUAAGUUCAUGUGCAUUAACACAGAAGGUUGGAAUUGGUGGUCAAGACUGUACUACCGAUAACAAGCACUAGGUUGUGAAGUAUAUGUCAAAGCACUGUCUUUGGUCUUUAAAAGUACAUUUGUGAGAGGAGACUGCAUCCUUCUCCCUAGCCUAAAGUCAUCAUUGUUUCCUGGGAGUCUCAAAGGAAAUAGAAGGACUCUGAUUCAAAGAUCUGUAUCUGACAACUCUUUGAAGUAGGGAGACAUAAGGUAUAGAAUAAAUAAGGUAGAAUCUAUUAAUACAGGUAGUUUGAUGUACUUUCUGAAGAUGGUCAUAUUAGGAAAGACUUUUGGGAGUUCAAGCCUGAAUGUAACACCACAAUCUUUUGAAGUACUUUGAAAAAAAUUACUUUUAAUAAGAAGAAAAUUUAAAAAUUAUAGAAGUGUUGA
rnacentral:sRNA from 1 species